rnacentral:misc_RNA from 1 species
AGCCAUGAGGCCUAAAGGCACUCAACCAAUAAUGCAUGCUGCAUCCACGAGCACUCAAGGCACCAAUGGUCUUACUUUGAGAGAUGGGGCAAAAUCCAUGCAAUCAUCCAAAAGGCCAUAGGCGCCACCAUGCACCCACUCCUAUACCGCACAAAACGGAGGGAGGGGAGAGAGAGUAUAGCACCGAGUCAUAUUUCUCUUUUGAAAGACUAGUAAAUAGUACAGGCAAAUUUUGUGGCACCAACAGCAACAAUGGACCAUAUAAUGAAGAAUUGCACUAAUUUCGGUUGGGUGCACAAGGCACAGAGCCCGCCAUUAUAUGCAAUUAUUAAACAACUUAUGUGCCGACACGGUCAUUCCAUGUACAUUGCCUUAUCGCCCACAUGCGUGCCCAUCAAGAAGAUAGU